AUUGAACGCUGGCGGCAGGCCUAACACAUGCAAGUCGAACGGUAACAGGAAGAAGCUUGCUUCUUUGCUGACGAGUGGCGGACGGGUGAGUAAUGUCUGGGAAACUGCCUGAUGGAGGGGGAUAACUACUGGAAACGGUAGCUAAUACCGCAUAACGUCGCAAGACCAAAAAGGGGGACCUUCGGGCCUCUUGCCAUCGGAUGUGCCCAGAUGGGAUUAGCUGGUAGGGGGGGUAACGGCUCACCUGGGCGACGAGCCCUAGAGGGUGUGAGAGGAUGACCAGCCACCCUGGAACUGAGACACGGUCCAGACGCCUGCGGGAGGCAGCAGUGGGGAAUAUUGCGCAAUGGGCGCAAGCCUGAUGCAGCCGUGCCGCGUGUAUGAAGAAGGCCUUCGGGUUGUAAAGUACUUUCAGCGGGGAGGAAGGGAGUAAAGUUAAUACCUUGGCUCAUUGACGUUACCCGCAGAAGAAGCACCGGCUAACUCCGUG
rnacentral:rRNA from 1 species